AUGCGGAUCAUUAAAAUGUCUGACCUGGGAAAGGAUGAUCAAGUGAUUAUAAACAAAGGAGAUAAGUUGAUUGCACAGUACUUCUGUCAGGCAGGGGACUGUCAUUAUAUGACAAAAACUGUAGGCCAACUGAGAGAGCAGUUGGGGUAUUUGGUGCUGAGCAUGCAGAAUAUCAGUCAAUUUGAUCGCUUUGAUGCAUUUCACAAUCUAAAACCAAUUCUACGGAACUUCACUCCUAACGAAGUUCUCCCGACCACUGCAACACCUGAUCUGACAGCACUCAACACAAGCAUCACUCAGACAGGUACUGACCGCCUAAACUCAGCAACUUCUCUGCCGUCACUAAUAUCACUAAACCCAUUCAUUUAGCAUUUUUGCCUUAUUGUUUAAAAACUAUUAAAAAUUAUUAAAAAAAUUUAAAAGUCCCCCUGUAGUCAGAAAUGUUAUCCCUUAAAACUCAUCUUUGAUCAUCAAAAUGACAUAGUUAAAUGUUUUUUCUGCUUUGCAUCAAGUUAAUUAUGUUAAUGAUAGGAUCCCUUCAUGUGAUUGGUUAUUCACUUUUGUGACGUAGCAAAAAAAAGGGCUGUUUCAAACAACGUUUCUGGGACAGCCUUUGGGAAACUACAGUUUAAAAGAGAAAAUACUCAGCAAUGGUGUUGAUAAAUGGACUGGCAAAUGGUUUGUCUAAAAGCAUAUUAAAAACAACACAGACAAACAAACAACAUUUAAAAAAACUUGAUUUUCACUACAGGGGGACUUUAAUUAUUCCAAACACACACACACGCUCCUGUCCUAUAUAAUUAUGGGAACAUUUCAUAGCCGUAAUGUUUUAAUCCACUGUACAAACUGUAUUUUCUAUCCCCUACACCUCACACAGGGUUUCUGCAGGUUUCACAAAGUCAAAUUUAAGACUUUUUAAGACCAUUUUAAGACCAUUAAGAAUGAAAUUUAAGACCUAUAUCACGACAUCAAAAACUCACACAAAGGAAAAUGCAGAAUCACACAAUUACUAGCAAAGUAAAUUUAUUCAAAUGGAACAGUACUGAAGACAAGUGAAAUGCGUCAAAUGCGUAAAUUCGUCAAACAUCAGCACGAAUGGUCCCGUCACUUUCGAAAUUAGGUCUCUCUUGAUAAAUUCUGAUAGUCCAAAGCACGCAGUGUAGGCAGUUUUAUCUUUCC
ensembl:lncRNA